UACAAUAAAUCAAAUCCCUCGCAAAAUUAUUCAAUCCCAAAUCAUAUCCUCUCCCAAAUUUUGCAAACCCUAACUAUCAAAAUUUCUCCUAAUGAAAUCUCUCUCCGUCAAAACAUAUGCAACCCUAACCACCACACCAGCCACGCCUUCCAACGAGCCACCACCACCAACUAGCCACGCAUUCCAACGGACGACCACCACCAGCCAGCCGUGCAUUCCAACGGGCGACCACCAGCUAGCCGUGUCUUAAAAACGAAGACCACCCCUACUGCGCCUUCCAAAAGGGGUUUUUUGUUUUUUGUUUUUUGUUAUGUUGAUUUCUUAAUAUCAAAAGUUGUUUACUUUUUGUUCUGCAGAUCUAUUGGGUGAUGGGAUCUUCGCUGUGGAUGGAGAAAAGUGGCGAUAUCUGAGGAAAAUAGCAAGUUAUGAAUUCUCCACCAAGAUACUGAGGGAUUUCAGCAGUGGAGUCUUUAAAGCCACUGAUGUAAAGCUUGCUGGCAAUAAUGGCAAUCACAAGGGCUUCAUUAUAAUCUUCUUUUAAAGUAGUGUUAAAGAUCAGAUUGAUGCAAGGGAUAUGUCAGAUGCAGUCAUUUUCAAUUCCAGCAGUUUAAAAUUUGUUGUGUGGAAUGACUUUGAUCGGGUGAAAAAGGGGGACACCUGAUGGGUGGGCUACUACAGCUGAUUCUGAGUAUUUGUGUUUGACAACACACUUUAUUGAUAAAGAUUGGCAAUCGAAAAAUUUUGAAUUUCAUUAUGACUGAUUCUUCUCACAUAGAAGAUGUGAGUGCAGAGGUUAUAAUGACAUGUCAAAUGGAUUGUGAUAUAAGAUCGUAAGUUAUUUGCAGUGACAUUUGAUAGUGGGGCUAGCAGUGACAACAUGGUCUAUAGAAAGAAGAUAUUGUGUCAAGGUUUGUGGAAUUGAAAGAGACGGAUCCAAAAUACAGGAAUUUCCUGGUUUUUGUACAUGAUCUGCAAGCACCCUCAUACACAGUAAUUUCUUCCUUGAUUAGAGAGUGAAGUUCCUGUC